UGGGGAAUAUUGCGCAAUGGGCGAAAGCCUGACGCAGCAACGCCGCGUGAGGGAUGACGGCCUUCGGGUUGUAAACCUCUUUCAGCAGGGAAGAAGCGAAAGUGACGGUACCUGCAGAAGAAGCACCGGCUAACUACGUGCCAGCAGCCGCGGUAAUACGUAGGGUGCAAGCGUUGUCCGGAUUUAUUGGGCGUAAAGAGCUCGUAGGCGGUUAGUCACGUCGGAUGUGAAAACCAGGAGCUUAACUCCUGGCCUGCAUUCGAUACGGGCUGACUAGAGUGUUGUAGGGGAGACUGGAACUCCUGGUGUAGCGGUGAAAUGCGCAGAUAUCAGGAAGAACACCGGUGGCGAAGGCGGGUCUCUGGGCAACUACUGACGCUGAGGAGCGAAAGCGUGGGGAGCAAACA
rnacentral:rRNA from 1 species